UCUUCGGAGGUGAGUAAAGUGGCGCACGGGUGAGUAACACGUGGGUAAUCUGCCCUUAGGUUUGGGAUAACCCCGGGAAACCGGAGCUAAUACCGAAUAAGACCACGAUGACUUCGGUCAAUGUGGGAAAAGGUGGCCUCUUCUUGAAAGCUACCGCCAAUGGAUGAGCCCGCGUUUGAUUAGCUUGUUGGUGAGGUAAAAGCUCACCAAGGCUACGAUCAAUAGCUGAUCUGAGAGGAUGAUCAGCCACACUGGAACUGAGACACGGUCCAGACUCCUACGGGAGGCAGCAGUCGGGAAUAUUGGGCAAUGGGCGAAAGCCUGACCCAGCAACGCCGCGUGAAGGAUGAAGGCCUUAGGGUCGUAAACUUCUGUCGAGAGGGAAGAAUGCUUGCGGGUGAAUAAUCCGUAAGUUUGACGGUACCUCCAAAGGAAGGUCCGGCUAACUCCGUGCCAGCAGCCGCGGUAAUACGGAGGGACCAAGCGUUGUUCGGAUUUAUUGGGCGUAAAGCGAGUGUAGGCGGUUUGACAAGUCGGGUGUGAAAUCCCAGGGCCCAACCCUGGAACUGCAUCCGAUACUGUUAGGCUAGAGUUCCGGAGAGGGUGGCGGAAUUCCCGGUGUAGGGGUGAAAUCCGUAGAUAUCGGGAGGAACACCAGUGGCGAAGGCGGCCACCUGGACGGUAACUGACGCUCAGACUCGAAAGUGUGGGUAGCAAACAGGAUUAGAUACCCUGGUAGUCCACACCGUAAACGGUGAGAGCUCGUCGUAGUGGGUAUUGACCCCUGCUGUGACCAAGCUAACGCAUGAAGCUCUCCGCCUGGGAAGUACGGUCGCAAGACUAAAACUCAAAGAAAUUGACGGGGGCCCGCACAAGCGGUGGAGCAUGUUGUUUAAUUCGAAGCAACGCGCAGAACCUUACCUGGAUUUGACAUCUC
rnacentral:rRNA from 1 species